rnacentral:lncRNA from 1 species
UCAGAUGGGGAACAAGAUUCGGGCGAUUCGCACGUGGGUCGGGUCUCGUAUUUCCAGUAGAUAUCCAUUAAGAGGAAGAGACAAAAAGGUAUAAUUGAGAGGAACGGCUUGAGGAGAUUUCGGGUCACCGAGAUUAGGCCUUUUCGAAGCGGGUCAAGACCCGGGAUUGUUAGGAGAAGGAGCAUGAUUGCUUCUGCUCCGGCGGCGUAGCCGAGAACAACCCAUUCCAACGCCAUUGAUGUGAAGAGCUUCGGAUUUUGAGGUAAAAGAGGAAAGUGAAGAGUUGAAGAAAUGGAAAGUGGAAAAUAGAAGAAAUUUUAUU